GGGGCGGAAACCCCCCUAACACUUAGCACUCAUCGUUUACGGCGUGGACUACCAGGGUAUCUAAUCCUGUUUGAUCCCCACGCUUUCGCACAUCAGCGUCAGUUACAGACCAGAAAGUCGCCUUCGCCACUGGUGUUCCUCCAUAUCUCUGCGCAUUUCACCGCUACACAUGGAAUUCCACUUUCCUCUUCUGCACUCAAGUUUUCCAGUUUCCAAUGACCCUCCACGGUUGAGCCGUGGGCUUUCACAUCAGACUUAAAAAACCGCCUACGCGCGCUUUACGCCCAAUAAUUCCGGAUAACGCUUGCCACCUACGUAUUACCGCGGCUGCUGGCACGUAGUUAGCCGUGGCUUUCUGAUUAGGUACCGUCAAGAUGUGCACAGUUACUUACACAUAUGUUCUUCCCUAAUAACAGAGUUUUACGAUCCGAAGACCUUCAUCACUCACGCGGCGUUGCUCCGUCAGGCUUUCGCCCAUUGCGGAAGAUUCCCUACUGCUGCCUCCCGUAGGAGUCUGGACCGUGUCUCAGUUCCAGUGUGGCCGAUCACCCUCUCAGGUCGGCUAUGCAUCGUUGCCUUGGUAAGCCGUUACCUUACCAACUAGCUAAUGCAGCGCGGAUCCAUCUAUAAGUGACAGCAAGACCGUCUUUCACUUUUGAACCAUGCGGUUCAAAAUAUUAUCCGGUAUUAGCUCCGGUUUCCCGAAGUUAUCCCAGUCUUAUAGGUAGGUUAUCCACGUGUUACUCACCCGUCCGCCGCUAACAUCAGAGAAGCAAGCUUCUCGUCCGUUCGCUCGACUUGCAUGUAUUAGGCACGCCGCCAGCGUUCAUCCUGAGCCAGGAUCAAACCCUC
rnacentral:rRNA from 1 species